CGGGACGGGUGAGUAAUGUCUGGGAAACGUGCCUGAUGGAGGGGGGUAACUACUGGAAACGGUAGCUAAUACCGCAUAACGUCGCAAGACCAAAGAGGGGGACCGUUCGGGCCUCUUGCCAUCGGAUGUGCCCAGAUGGGAUUAGCUAGUAGGUGGGGUAACGGCUCACCUAGGCGACGAUCCCUAGCUGGUCUGAGAGGAUGACCAGCCACACUGGAACUGAGACACGGUCCAG
rnacentral:rRNA from 1 species